AGCGAACGCUGGCGGCAGGCUUAACACAUGCAAGUCGAGCGGGCACUUCGGUGUCAGCGGCAGACGGGUGAGUAACGCGUGGGAACGUGCCCUUCGGUUCGGAAUACCUCAGGGAAACUUGAGCUAAUACCGGAUACGCCCUUUUGGGGAAAGGUUUAUCUGCCGAAGGAUCGGCCCGCGUCUGAUGAGCUAGUUGGUGAGGUUAUGGCUCACCAAGGCGACGAUCAGUAGCUGGUCUGAGAGGAUGAUCAGCCACACUGGGACUGAGACACGGCCCAGACUCCUACGGGAGGCAGCAGUGGGGAAUAUUGGACAAUGGGGGCACCCUGAUCCAGCCAUGCCGCGUGAGUGAUGACGGCCUUAGGGUUGUAAAGCUCUUUUCUCCGGGACGAUAAUGACGGUACCGGAGGAAUAAGCCCCGGCUAACUUCGUGCCAGCAGCCGCCGUAA
rnacentral:rRNA from 1 species